AUUGAACGCUGGCGGCAUGCCUUACACAUGCAAGUCGAACGGCAGCAUGGAGAGCUUGCUCUCUGAUGGCGAGUGGCGAACGGGUGAGUAAUGCAUCGGAACGUACCGUGUAAUGGGGGAUAACGUAGCGAAAGUUACGCUAAUACCGCAUACGACCUGAGGGUGAAAGCAGGGGAUCGCAAGACCUUGCGUUAUACGAGCGGCCGAUGUCAGAUUAGCUAGUUGGUGAGGUAAAGGCUCACCAAGGCGACGAUCUGUAGCGGGUCUGAGAGGAUGCUCCGCCACACUGGGACUGAGACACGGCCUAGACUCCUACGGGAGGCAGCAGUGGGGAAUUUUGGACAAUGGGGGAAACCCUGAUCCAGCCAUGCCGAGUGAGUGAAGAAGGCCUUCGGGUUGUAAAGCUCUUUCGGCCGGGAAGAAAUCGCACAGGCUAAUACUCUGUGUGGAUGACGGUACCGGCAUAAGAAGCACCGGCUAACUACGUGCCAGCCGCCGCCGUAA
rnacentral:rRNA from 1 species